GAUGAACGCUGGCGGCGUGCUUAACACAUGCAAGUCGAACGGAAAGGCCCAAGCUUGCUUGGGUACUCGAGUGGCGAACGGGUGAGUAACACGUGGGUGAUCUGCCCUGCACUUCGGGAUAAGCCUGGGAAACUGGGUCUAAUACCGGAUAGGACGAUGGUUUGGAUGCCAUUGUGGAAAGUUUUUUCGGUGUGGGAUGAGCUCGCGGCCUAUCAGCUUGUUGGUGGGGUAAUGGCCUACCAAGGCGUCGACGGGUAGCCGGCCUGAGAGGGUGUACGGCCACAUUGGGACUGAGAUACGGCCCAGACUCCUACGGGAGGCAGCAGUGGGGAAUAUUGCACAAUGGGCGCAAGCCUGAUGCAGCGACGCCGCGUGGGGGAUGGCGGCCUUCGGGUUGUAAACUCCUUUCGCUAGGGACGAAGCGUUUUUGUGACGGUACCUGGAGAAGAAGCACCGGCUAACUACGUG
rnacentral:rRNA from 1 species